GGAUGAUACUUGAACUCACAAUCAUAGGCAUUCAGCAUUAGGGACCACCUGAGCAUGCGUGGUGAAAUUAUUUGAGGAGUGGGAGUAUUGCUGGGGAACAGACCCAGUAAAGGUUUAUGAUCUGUUAUAAUAGUAAACCUCCACCCACACAAAUAGUCACAAAACAUUUUUACAGCAGACACAAUAGCUAAAGCCUCCUUGUCAAUUUGGGCGUAAUUCCUCUCGGUAGUAGAUAAAGUCCGUGAAUAAAACGCAAUAGGAGCC